rnacentral:tRNA from 2 species
GCGCCCAUAGCUCAGCUGGAUAGAGCGUACCCCUCCGGAGGGUGAGGCCGGGGGUUCGAAUCCUCCUGGGCGCGCCA